AGAGUUUGAUCAUGGCUCAGGAUGAACGCUAGCGGCAGGCUUAAUACAUGCAAGUCGAAGGGCAUCAGCUUAUAGCAAUAUAGGGCUGGCGACCGGCAAACGGGCGCGGAACACGUACACAACCUUCCUUUAAGAGGGGGAUAGCCCAUAGAAAUGUGGAUUAAUACCCCGUAAGAUAGUGGGAUGGCAUCAUACUACUAUUAUAGUUACGACGCUUGAAGAUGGGUGUGCGUCUGAUUAGGUAGUUGGCGGGGUAAAGGCCCACCAAGCCUUCGAUCAGUAGCUGAUGUGAGAGCAUGAUCAGCCACACGGGCACUGAGACACGGGCCCGACUCCUACGGGAGGCAGCAGUAUGGAAUAUUGGUCAAUGGACGCAAGUCUGAACCAGCCAUGCCGCGUGAAGGAUGAAGGUCCUCUGGAUUGUAAACUUCUUUUAUAGGGGGCGAAAAAAGGGAAAUCUUUCUCACUUGACAGUACCCUAUGAAUAAGCACCGGCUAACUCCGUGCCAGCAGCCGCGGUAAU
rnacentral:rRNA from 1 species